GCCGUCACCAGGACGAAUCCUUGCAGUCAGCGGCAAGCCCGUUGACUGUUUUACUCAACGUGCCCUAACCAUUUCAGAGCGUGGUGACCUUGGAGGGGCAUCCCGAUCUGCUGCCGUGACGUACGAAGCACGUGUGACGUUGGAGAACCGCAGCGAGGAGCCAUAAGCGAUCCACAUUCCCGCCUCGUCACGAAGUUACGUCGACACCACUCACUCUCUUACGGGCUCUGUGAAGGAGCUGAGUGGUGUCCAGAGUGCGUUCGAAUGGAGGACAUCGAUCACGCUCUCGCCAACUCACGUGGCUCAGUGGCAGAGUUCGAGGUAACCGUAUCGACAGUGAACUUACCUCCUGUGGGAAGAACGGAGCCAUGAGGGCAUAACAGCAGCCGAGGAGAAGGCCGGUGAAGCAGAUGCUGACGAGCACUGUGAUGGAUCUCUUGUUCCACGGGAAUUUCUUCUUCUCAGUCUUGGAUGGUUCAUGGUUGUUGGGGGUGGCAGCUACGGA